GCCGGGGACCUUAUGGAAUGAAGUGCCCGAACCAGGUCAGGGCCGGAAGGCAGCAGCCUUAAGGGCUUCCUUCAUGCUAUGAAUCUAUCUCCGGCUUU
rnacentral:SRP_RNA from 1 species